rnacentral:misc_RNA from 1 species
AACGCACAUUGCGCCCGUCAGUAUUCUGGCGGGCAUGCCUGUUCGAGCGUCAUUUCAACCAUCAAGCCCCAGGCUUGUGUUGGGGCACUGCGGCUGCCGCAGGCCCCUAAAAGCAGUGGCGGACUCGCUGUCAUACCGAGCGUAGUAGCAUAUCUCGCUCAGGACGUGGCGGCGGGCACCGGCCGUAAAACACCACCAAAUCUAAGGUUGACCUCGGAUCAGGUAGGAAUACCCGCUGAACUUAA